rnacentral:rRNA from 1 species
UACAGAGACCUCAAGCGUUAUCCGGAAUCAUUGGGCGUAAAGCGUACCGAUAGGUGGUUUUGAAAGUUUUGGGUAAAAGCCAGAAGCUCAACUUCUGAGUUUGCUCAAAAUACUGCAAAACUAGAGGGGCAAAGAGGAGACUGGAACGAACGGUGUAGUAGUGAAAUGCGUUGAUAUCGUUCGGAACACCGAAAGCGAAGGCAGGUCUCUGGGUGCCACCUGGCACUGCUAGGACGAAAGCGUGGGGAGCGAAUGGG